UUGUACCUCAUUUGUAAGUUGCUUUGGAUAAAAGCAUUUGCUAAAUGACUAAUG
rfam:Danio rerio chromosome 21, GRCz11 reference primary assembly.